CCGCCUUCCAGGCCCCUCCCCGCCCUCUGUCUCUUUCUGCCUGGGUUCUUCCUUUGGGCCUUCUACCCUCGGGUUUCAGCUCUGGUCCAUCAGUGUCUAUAUGCGAGGAAAGAGAAGGCAUUGGCAGGGGAUGACCUGGGCAUAAGGGGCUGGCUGGGCAGAAGACAGAAUUCUUGAGGUCCAAGGAGCCACUAAAGGGAAACUGUGACCUCCCUCUCAAUCGCUGUCCAUUUUAGGAAUUGGGGUGUUGAAGGAAACUUGUGUACAAUCCUAACAAAGCAGUAGGGAAGGAGGGCAGCAUGGCAUAGGAGUUCACUUGAGUUUUGGCAUCAGACAGUCUUUGUUCAAAUCCUGGCACAACCGUUUGUUCUCUGUGUGACUUUGUACGAGUUCUUGGCUUAUCUAAACCUCAGUUUUCUAAUAAACACAAUGAAGACAACAAUGGGACUUGUCUCUUAGAAUUGUUGUGAGGAAGCACAGGUAAAAUACUCA